CUAUGUAUAAAAUAUCAAAUUAUAAGCUAACAUGUAGUGAUUAUACUUAAGUCAAGACAACAUUUAUAAGCAACCUUUCUUAUUAUAUUUAUGAUGAUUCACAUGCAUUGCAUAUUAACUUCAUUUCAUUACAACAAUAUUUCCAUUACUUCAUUUCUCUAUCUCUCUAACUUCUCUCUAUACUUCUUUACAAAAUCUUCAUCUACUCAAAAAAUUUCCACAAAAUUUACUUCAUUUCUCACGAUUUUGUUCUACAAAUUUUCUAUUCUCAAACUCAAAUACACAAAAUCAACACCAAAAAAAUUUCUUCAUUUCUCACGAUUCUUGCUUCGAAAUAUAUCGGUAGGAUAUAAUAUGGAAAUUCUACAUAUUUCCAUUUUUUCAAAGUUUUAAUUCGGGAAUUUCUCAAAUGUUGAUUAGUUAUGGGCGAAUUACUUGCAAAAUAUAGUUGCAUGUCAUCAUCUCAACAUAUUCAAUAUGGAAAUUAAAGAUUUUUGGUAAGUUUUAUUUUUCUUUUUUUUUCGUUUUUUGUUUAUAUGGUAUAUACUAUGUGGAUAUGUUGUUUUAUAUUUUUUUUGAUUUUCCUUGUAAACAUAUGAAUAAAUACAAUCUUUAGUAUUCGAAAUUUUAUUUGCAUGUAAAGUUUAUGAUGAAUAAUGGGUGAAUUUAAGUUAAAAAAGUUUAAUAGUAAGUGACAAAAUAAUUUCGUUUAUAUUUUUUUUUCUUCCAAUAAUAGUAUAUAUGAUAAAUCUAAAAUUUUAGUUUUUCUUUAAUUAUAAUAAUUCAUAUUACUGCUUAUUAAUAAAAACAUGAAAACACAAAAAAGAAAUCAGAUUUUUUUGGUUCAAAAUGUAUCGGUAGAAAAUAAUAUAGAAAUUCUUCAUAUUUCCAUUUUUUCAAAGUUUUAAUUGGGGAAUUUCUCAAAUGUUGAUUAGUUAUGGGCGAAAUACUUGCAAAAUAUAGUUGCAUGUCAUCAUCUCAACAUAUUCAAGAUGGAAAUUAAAGUUUUUUGCCAACUUACAACACAUCCCACAAAUAUAUGAAGAAUUUAGGUGAGAAUCCUAAUACUUAUAUAUUAUACUAUUGAUAUAUUAUUUUUCUUUGCUUUAAAAAAUGAUUACUAAACCGUUUAUAAUUAGUUUUUAUAAGAAAUAUUUGAUAUUCCAUCAAUAUCGUGAAAUGUUAAAUGUAAUAAUUAGUUAUUGUAAUUUGUUUAUAGUUUAAUUGUAAUCUAAUAAUUAGUUAUAUUGUAUUUAUUGGGAAGAAGAUGGAAUAUCAUAUAUUCAUAUAUAAAACCUAACUAUAAACGGUUUGAUGAAUACAUACCUGUAUGAUAUGCAUGUCGUUUCGAACCCCUUCCCUUCUUAA